rnacentral:ncRNA from 1 species
CACCCGUCUGCCGUGUGCGCUUGACUGACAGAUUGAUAGCUCUUUCUUUGAUUCUAAGGGUGGUGGUGCACGGCCGUUCCUAUUUAGUGGUGUGAUUUGUCUGGUCAAUUUCGUCAAUAAAACGAGACCUGAAUCUGCUAAGCAGGAUCAAGAACCUCGAGUCCUAGUGUCGCUUCUCAGAGGUACGCUGCGCGUCUAACGCAAGGAAAUUUGAUGCAAUAACAGGCGCGUGAUGCUUUUAGAUGUUCGGG